AUUGAACGCUGGCGGCAGGCUUUAACACAUGCAAGUCGAACGGUAACAGGGAGAAAGCUUGCUUUCUUUGCUGACGAGUGGCGGACGGGUGAGUAAUGCUUGGGAAUCUGGCCUAUGGAGGGGGAUAACUACGGGAAACUGUAGCUAAUACCGCGUAGUAUCGAAAGAUGAAAGUGUGGGACCGCAAGGCCACAUGCCAUGGGAUGAGCCCAAGUGGGAUUAGGUAGUUGGUGGGGUAAAGGCCUACCAAGCCGACGAUCUCUAGCUGGUCUGAGAGGAUGACCAGCCACACUGGAACUGAGACACGGUCCAGACUCCUACGGGAGGCAGCAGUGGGGAAUAUUGCACAAUGGGGGAAACCCUGAUGCAGCCAUGCCGCGUGAAAUGAAGAAGGCC
rnacentral:rRNA from 1 species